GGAGGAGCGGAGGCGUCGCCGGGCUGCGGCUGCACGGAGGGAGAAGGCCGCGCUGAGGACGUGGUUGCCCGUCCCUCCCUUGGGGAUGCCGUCGACUGCACCCGCCUCGCCUGUGCCUGGCCUGGCUCGCCUCGUGGCGUGGGGGCGAAAAGGGACAGGCGGCGGAGCGCUUACCGGCCGUGGACAGGAGCUGCCCUAAGGGAAGCUGGAAUGGCCAGAGAAAGGUGAAGAAGAAGAAGAAGAAGAGAUGGAAGGCUCUCCGGCCGGCAGCUGCCUCCCGCUGCAGGCAAGAGAGCGCCUGCCUCGCCGGGCGGAGGACAGCCGAGCGACCGGAGCGACAGCAAAGGAAAGGCGGAGAGCGGGAGAAAGAAGCGUCUGCGCUGGCAAGCUCUCCCGGCAGCGCCGAGAGCCA